GUCACGUGUCGUCAUCGUUCUUGACGUUUCUGGGAGGAGCGCAAAGGAGCGGAAGUCGGAAACAGAUUGAAACGAACGCUUGAACCGUUGACCCCGGUUUGUCAGUACUGUGAGAAAACUGAAUUACCGAAGGAACUUGGAUGCUAAAACAAGCGUUUGAGCUGCUUUACUGUCGAGUAGGAGUCAGCCUGGACGCUGAAUACACCUACGGCGCCAAGGUGUCACCACUUUUUCCACCACAUCGUCCAUGAUCGCCCGAGACAUUGUCAACGAUCGGAGAGACAUUGUUGAGGAUGAGGGAGACAUGGUCCACGAUCAGAGACGUCGUCUAUGGUCGCAGAGACCUUGUCAACGACGAGAGAGACGUUGUCCAUGGUCAGAGACAUUGUCCCAUGCUUCGUAGAGACCUUGCGAUAGAAUCGGCGGAGACGGGGGUCACCGAUUUGACGGCACUGCCCGCGAUCAUGGAGACAUUGUCGAUGAUCACAGAGACAGCGUCUAUGAUCUCAGAGACAUCGUCCACGAUCACAAAGACAUUGUCCAUGAUCACAGAGACUUUGUCCAUAAUCUCAGAGACAUUGUCCGCGAUCACAGAGACAUAGUCCACGAUCACAGAGACGUAGUCCAUGAUUACAGAAAGUCUCAUUCAAUGAGGAAGUUCUUUGAGACCAGGACAGAGGCCUCCAGGUGUCACCACUUUUUCCACCACAUCAUCCAUGAUCGCCCGAGACAUCGUCCACGAUCGGAGAGACAUUGUUGAGGAUGAGGGAGACAUGGUCCACGAUCAGAGACGUCGUCUAUGGUCGCAGAGACCUUGUCAAAGACGAGAGAGACGUUGUCCAUGGUCAGAGACAUUGUCCCAUGCUUCGUAGAGACCUUGCGAUAGAAUCGGCGGAGACGGGGGUCACCGAUUUGACGGCACUGCCCGCGAUCAUGGAGACAUUGUCGAUGAUCACAGAGACAGCGUCUAUGAUCUCAGAGACAUCGUCCACGAUCACAAAGACAUUGUCCAUGAUCACAGAGACUUUGUCCAUAAUCUCAGAGACAUUGUCCGCGAUCACAGAGACAUAGUCCACGAUCACAGAGACGUAGUCCAUGAUUACAGAAAGUCUCAUUCAAUGAGGAAGUUCUUUGAGACCAGGACAGAGGCCUCCAGGUGUCACCACUUUUUCCACCACAUCGUCCACGAUUGCUGAGACAUCGUCAACGAUCGGAGAGACAUUGUUGAGGAUGAGGGAGACAUGGUCCACGAUCAGAGACGUCGUCUAUGGUCGCAGAGACCUUGUCAAAGACGAGAGAGACGUUGUCCAUGGUCAGAGACAUUGUCCCAUGCUUCGUAGAGACCUUGCGAUAGAAUCGGCGGAGACUGGGGUCACCGAUUUGACGGCACUGCCCGCGAUCAUGGAGACAUUGUCGAUGAUCACAGAGACAGCGUCUAUGAUCUCAGAGACAUCGUCCACGAUCACAAAGACAUUGUCCAUGAUCACAGAGACUUUGCCCAUAAUCUCAGAGACAUUGUCCGCGAUCACAAAGACGUAGUCCACGAUCACAGAAAGUCUCAUUCAAUGAGGAAGUUCUUUGAGACCAGGACAGAGGCCUCCAGGUGUCACCACUUUUUCCACCACAUCGUCCAUGAUCGCCCGAGACAUCGUCCACGAUCGGAGAGACAUUGUUGAGGAUGAGGGAGACAUGGUCCACGAUCAGAGACGUCGUCUAUGGUCGCAGAGACCUUGUCAAAGACGAGAGAGACGUUGUCCAUGGUCAGAGACAUUGUCCCAUGCUUCGUAGAGACCUUGCGAUAGAAUCGGCGGAGACUGGGGUCACCGAUUUGACGGCACUGCCCGCGAUCAUGGAGACAUUGUCGAUGAUCACACAGACAGCGUCUAUGAUCUCAGAGACAUCGUCCACGAUCACAGAGACUUUGUCCAUAAUCUCAGAGACUUUGUCCAUAAUCUCAGAGACUUUGUCCAUAAUCUCAGAGACUUUGUCCAUAAUCUCAGAGACUUUGUCCGCGAUCACAGAGCCGUAGUCCACGAUCACAGAGAGUCUUCGUACAAUGAAGAAGUUCUUUGAGACCAGGACAGAGUCCUCCAGGUAAUUCAAGUAAUGUAAAAGUAAUGAGCAACAACAGAAGUAAGAUGUAAUAGUCAUAGUAAUCUGUUACUGGAUUUAGUUUCAACAGUAAAAGUUAU